rnacentral:rRNA from 1 species
AGCCAGAAGAGGAUAUUUCUGGUUUAACCUGCCCAAUGUAUUAAAAUGAAUGGCCGCGGUACUCUGACCGUGCUAAGGUAGCGUAAUCAGUUGGCUUUUAAAUGGAGUCAGGUAUGAAUGGAAUAACCUGGUUUAGCUGUCUCCAAAUUACUCAAUUGAAUUUACUGUUUAAGUGAAAAAGCUUAAGUAACAAAAAGGGACGAGAAGACCCUUAGAAUUUUCUUUAAAAAGAUUUAGCUUUGUGAUUUUGUUGGGGCGACAGAGAAAAAAAUUAAAACUUUCCGUGCAAAACAAGCCGAAUUUUAAGUGAGAAUAAAUUACCUGAGGGAUAACAGCAUAAUUCUACAAGUGAGUUUGUGACCUCGAUGUUGGACUAGGAAACUAGCAGAUUAGCCGUUUGUUGUGUUGGUUCUGUUCGAACUUUAA